GCACCCGGGGGAGGGCGGCCCGCGGGGCCCCGCCGGGACGUGGCACCGGGCCGGGGGUGGCAGCGGCGGGCCCGCGGCUGAGGCCAAGGGGGGUGCUGGGCAGGCCCCCCUUGCCGGCCGGCGCUGCACCUGGAGAGGAGGGUGGAGAGGAAUAGCGAAAAUGAGAAAUGCAGAUGAAAAGAUAUCUGCUUGCUGCCUCCUUUCUUGGUGAGCUGGGCUUUACCCUCUUUCCCCCUGAUCUGCUUCAAAUGGAUGUUGCAGCUGGCUGUCCUGAGUGGGUGCUGCAGAGGCCCAGCCAUAAACAUCCCUUUCCACGGGAUGUUUAUGGGGGUCUGCUCUUAGCCCUGGAGGUGUCAGCAGGAGCCACAGAAACCAGCCCAAGAGGUCUCUGUGCCACCUUCAGCAAUGCCCUCACUGACAUCCCUGCUGAGAUCUCCCCAUGCCUAAGUGCAUCCUUCAGACCAAGCUCCCUGCCAGCCCUGGGGUUGGGAAUGCAGCCUGAAUUUCCCCUGGAAAGAGGAAGUACCCAGCUCCAAAACUGAGGCUUCAUCCUGAACUGUCCAGCAAAUGGUUGCCUUCUGCUCACACUCCCAGCAGGGCAGGAGCAACUGAGCCACUCCUAGCAAGGGAGCAGAAGAAAAAGCCCAAAAGUCCUGAAACCGCCAGAAGUCUGCCUGGUGAAGUGCCCACAGCUGAAAGGCUCAGCCUCACACCACAGCCAGACCCAGUUUUGCCCUUCCUGCUCCCACAAGUGGAUAUCAUUUUGAAGGACAUCAGUGAGACUCACCAGCUGGAGCCUUGCCUCAAAACCUACCUCCCCUCUGCUGUGAUCAUGUCCAACACUGGGAGAAAGUGAAGCAAAAACCACAAACUCCCCCAUUUUCCCUUCCCUAGCUGCAUUUCAAGAAGGGGAACCCCAAAUAUAUGCAUCUCUGCAGAUGACCAGCACGUUUUGCUUCUGCUUUCUCAAUGAAAAUCACAAACACCCCACAGUGCCAGUGAGAAAUCCCCUAACUGGAGUGUAAUUUUGAUUUUUGAAAUUUCCCAUGAAGUCCAGCACUGGCAGCUCCUGUGGUUCCCAGCUCCAAGCAUGUUCUAAACCCUCAGAAACAUUCCCUUCACAUCUGUCUGAACAGCAGCUUUGGAGCUCCACAGUUUUGGUGCCACUUUUCAGGUACAACAAACAGGACCUGAGGAGCCUCCCAAGAGUCUUGGAACCAACAAGAAACAGCCAGAGCAGAUGAGCAGCUGUAAAAUCCCCAGGGCAGCUCACACCCCUUGGGGCUGGCACUAGUGGGAAGCAGGAGGGUGCAAAGCAGCAAGAAAGCCAAGCCUUCCUCUGCCAGCACAGAUUGCCCCCUUCUUUCAUGUGUCCUAAAUAGCUUUUCUUCCACCUG